UUUUUGGGUUUUAAACAUCACAUAUACUCGACCAAUGUACACGAGUGCAGGGUCUCAGGUGCAACAGAAAAUUUUCAAAAUUUUGUACUCCAACGGGCUGUACACUCGAUCUCCAGGUCUUCGAUAGAGUAAAAGUUUUAAAUUUUUACUCUAUCUCCGCGUUGUUCUCUUGUCUCUGAAAACCACAAACACAACUAAAACAAAUCAAAAAUAUCAAGAAGGUAAAAAUUAUUUACAAGGAUAGUCAUGGGACCUCCUCCCAAGUGAGCUUGUUUAAAGUCAUUAGCUUGACUCCUUUACUCCUUUAAUCAUCAAGAAGCUCCUGGAGAUGAACCGAUGUCACCUCUGGAAGGAUUUGGUCUGCUAAGUAUUUCUUGAGCCUUUGACCAUUUACUGUAAAAUCUCCACUCUUACCAGCUAGAGUGACUGCUCCAUAAGGACGGACCUCAGUGAUGCAGAAGGGGCCAGACCAUCUGGAUUUAAGUUUUCCUGGAAAGAGUUUCAAGCGAGAGUUGAAUAGCAGCACCUGAACACCAAACUGGAAAUCCUUAGUGAUGAUCUUCUUGUCAUGGAAAAGCUUGGUUCUCUCCUUGUAGAUUUUAGAACUUUCAUAAGCUUCUAGACGGAUCUCAUCGAGGUCACUGAGUUGGAUCAAUCGCUUCUCCUCAGCAGUUUUUAUGUCAAAGUUCAGAAGUUUUACCGCCCACAUUGCUUUGUACUCGAGCUCAACGGGUAGAUGACAUGAUUUUCCAUAGAGAAGAUUGAAAGGAGUUGUACCUAUGGGGGUCUUGAAGGCUGUCCUAUAAGCCCAUAAUGCAUCAUCUAGCUUUGCAGACCAGUCUUUCCUUGUAAUCCCAACAGUCUUUUCCAGAAUUGUUUUUAUCUCCCUAUUGGAGAUCUCAACCUGCCCGCUUGUCUGUGGAUUAUAAGGAGUGGCGACCUUGUGCUUUACCCCAUGCUUCUUCAAGAGGUUCUCAAAAACCUUGUUGAUGAAAUGCUUUCCGCCAUCACUGAUUACUACCCUGGGAACUCCAAAUCUUGGGAAGAUUAUGGUUUUGAACAACUUCAGCACAACUUUUGCAUCGUUGGUAGGACUAGCAAUAGCUUCGACCCAUUUCGAUACGUAGUCUACGGCGACCAGUAUAUAUUUAUUACCGUAUGAAGAUGGGAAUGGACCCAUAAAAUCAAUCCCCCAUACAUCAAAGAUCUCAACUUCCAAGAUUGGGUUCUGAGGCAUCUCAUUUCUUCUACUGAUGUUGCCUUUUCUCUGGCAUGAAUCACACUUUGAAACAAACUCCUGAGCAUCCUUAAACAUUGUUGGCCACCAAAAGCCUGCUUGAAGAAUCUUGGACACUGUCUUGAACGUCGCGAAGUGACCACCAUAUGCUGAGCCAUGGCAAUGCAGCAGGAUACCUUCCACUUCAUCUUCUGAGACACAUCUCCUGUAGAUCUUAUCUUUACAGAGAGUGUAAAGAUAAGGCUCAUCCCAGUAGUAAUGGUGUAUGUCUCUGAAAAACUUCUUCCUUUCAUAACUUGUCAG
rnacentral:sRNA from 1 species